UGGUAGUCCACGCCCUAAACGAUGUACACUAGUUGUUGUGAGACUUGAUCUUGCAGUAAUGCAGUUAACACAUUAAGUGUACCCGCCUGGGGAGUACGGUCGCAAGAUUAAAACUCAAAGGAAUAGACGGGGACCCGCACAAGCGGUGGAGCAUGUGGUUUAAUUCGACGAUACACGAAGAACCUUACCUGGACUUGACAUAGUAAGAACUUUCUAGAGAUAGAUUGGUGUCUGCUUGCAGAAACUUAUAUACAGGUGCUGCACGGCUGUCGUCAGCUCGUGUCGUGAGAUGUUGGGUUAAGUCCCGCAACGAGCGCAACCCUCGUGUUUAGUUGCUAACAGUUCGGCUGAGAACUCUAAACAGACUGCCUACGCAAGUAGGAGGAAGGUGAGGACGACGUCAAGUCAUCAUGGCCCUUACGUCCAGGGCUACACACGUGCUACAAUGGGAUAUACAAAGAGCCGCAAUACGGUGACGUGGAGCAAAUCUUAUAAAAUAUCUCCCAGUUCGGAUUGUAGUCUGCAACUCGACUACAUGAAGUUGGAAUCGCUAGUAAUCGUAGAUCAGCUAUGCUACGGUG
rnacentral:rRNA from 1 species